rnacentral:tRNA from 1 species
UGCCGGUGUGGUGGAACGGCAGACGCGGCGGACUCAAAAUCCGCUGGGAGCAAUCCCGUGUGGGUUCAAAUCCCACCACCGGCAUAUU